UCAAAGACCGGGUAAACCGCCUCGACGGUUA
rnacentral:sRNA from 1 species